rnacentral:rRNA from 1 species
UCGAACGAGAAAGGGGAGCAAUCCCUGAGUAAAGUGGCGCACGGGUGAGUAACACGUGGGUAAUCUACCCUUGGGUGGGGAAUAACCCUGGGAAACCGGGGCUAAUACCGCAUAAGACCGCAAGGUGAAAGGUGAAAAUCGCCGAAGGAGGAGCCCGCGGCCGACUAGCUAGUUGGUAGGGUAAAGGCCUACCAAGGCUUCGAUCGGUAGCCGGCCUGAGAGGGCACACGGCCACACUGGCACUGAAACACGGGCCAGACUCCUACGGGAGGCAGCAGUGGGGAAUCUUGCACAAUGGGGGAAACCCUGAUGCAGCGACGCCGCGUGAGCGAUGAAGCCCUUCGGGGUGUAAAGCUCUUUCGACCGGAACGAUAAUGACGGUACCGGGAGAAGAAGCUGCGGCUAACUACGUGCCAGCAGCCGCGGUAAUACGUAGGCAGCGAGCGUUG